rnacentral:SRP_RNA from 1 species
AGCCGCCGGGAACCCCGUGGAGGCACGACUGGCAAACCCCGCCAGGACCGAGAGGUAGCAACGGUAGCUUGUUCGUGUUUGCCGCGUCCGUUCCCGGCGGCAUUUU